rnacentral:rRNA from 1 species
CCUACGGGCGGCUGCAGUGGGGAAUAUUGGACAAUGGGGGGAACCCUGAUCCAGCCAUGCCGCGUGUGUGAAGAAGGCCCUCGGGUUGUAAAGCACUUUCAGUGAGGAAGAACGCCUGGUGGUUAAUACCCAUCAGGAAAGACAUCACUCACAGAAGAAGCACCGGCUAACUCCGUGCCAGCAGCCGCGGUAAUACGGAGGGUGCGAGCGUUAAUCGAAAUUACUGGGCGUAAAGCGCGCGUAGGUGGCUUGAUAAGCCGGUUUUGAAAGCCCCGGGCUCAACCUGGGAACGGCAUCCGGAACUGUCAAGCUAGAGUGCAGGAGAGGAAGGUAGAAUUCCCGGUGUAGCGGUGAAAUGCGUAGAGAUCGGGAGGAAUACCAGUGGCGAAGGCGGCCUUCUGGACUGACACUGACACUGAGGUGCGAAAGCGUGGGUAGCAAACAGGAUUAGAUACCCCUGUAGUC